rnacentral:piRNA from 1 species
UAGGGACAUUCUAGUGAUUGUGUGAUA